rnacentral:rRNA from 1 species
AGAGUUUGAUCAUGGCUCAGGACGAACGCUGGCGGCGCGCUUAACACAUGCAAGUCGAGCGAGAACCUGGCCUUCGGGCCUGGGGAAAGCGGCGAACGGGUGAGUAACACGUGGGUAACCCACCCUUGGUACUGGGAUAGCCCGGGGAAACCCGGAUUAAUACCGGAUGGCCCAACAGCUCUUCGGGGCGGUUGGAAAAGGUAGCUUCGGCCUCCGACCAAGGACGGGCCCGCGGCGGAUUAGCUUGUUGGUGGGGUAACGGCCUACCAAGGCGACGAUCCGUAGUUGGUCUGAGAGGACGAUCAGCCACACUGGGACUGAGACACGGCCCAGACUCCUACGGGAGGCAGCAGUGGGGAAUCUUGCGCAAUGGGCGAAAGCCUGACGCAGCGACGCCGCGUGGGGGAAGAAGGCUUUCGGGUUGUAAACCCCUUUCAGGAAGGACGAAGCCACUCGGGUGAAUAGCCCAGAGGGUGACGGUACUUCCAGAAGAAGCCCCGGCUAACUACGUGCCAGCAGCCGCGGUA